rnacentral:rRNA from 1 species
GUUGAACGCUGGCGGCAUGCUUUACACAUGCAAGUCGAACGGCAGCAUAGGUGCUUGCACCUGAUGGCGAGUGGCGAACGGGUGAGUAAUAUAUCGGAACAUGUCCGGAAGUGGGGGAUAACGUAGCGAAAGUUACGCUAAUACCGCAUAUGCCCUGAGGGGGAAAGGCGGGGAUCGAAAGACCUUUCGCUUUCGGAGUGGCGGAUAUCUGAUUAGCUAGUAGGUGAGGUAAAGGCUCACCUAGGCGACGAUCCGUAGCUGGUCUGAGAGGACGACCAGCCACACUGGGACUGAGACACGGCCCAGACUCCUACGGGAGGCAGCAGUGGGGAAUUUUGGACAAUGGGCGCAAGCCUGAUCCAGCCAUGCCGCGUGAGUGAAGAAGGCCUUCGGGUUGUAAAGCUCUUUCAGCUGGAAAGAAAUCAUGCUUACUAAUACUAAGUGUGGAUGACGGUACCAGCAGAAGAAGCACCGGCUAACUACAUGCCAGCCGCCGCAGUAA